rnacentral:rRNA from 1 species
ACAUCCAGAGAAUUUAGCAGAGAUGCUUUAGUGCCUUCGGGAACUCUGAGACAGGUGCUGCAUGGCUGUCGUCAGCUCGUGUUGUGAAAUGUUGGGUUAAGUCCCGNAACGAGCGCAACCCUUAUCCUUUGUUGCCAGCACGUAAUGGUGGGAACUCAAAGGAGACUGCCGGUGAUAAACCGGAGGAAGGUGGGGAUGACGUCAAGUCAUCAUGGCCCUUACGAGUAGGGCUACACACGUGCUACAAUAGCGCAUACAAAGAGAAGCGACCUCGCGAGAGCAAGCGGACCUCAUAAAGUGCGUCGUAGUCCGGAUUGGAGUCUGCAACUCGACUCCAUGAAGUCGGAAUCGCUAGUAAUCGUAAAUCAGAAUGUUACGGUGAAUACGUUCCCGGGCCUUGUACACACCGCCCGUCACACCAUGGGAGUGGGUUGCAAAAGAAGUAGAUAGCUUAACCUUCGGGAGGGCGUUUACCACUUUGUGAUUCAUGACUGGGGUGAAGUCGUAACAAGGUAAGCGUAGUGCU